ensembl:lncRNA
CCCAGCCAGCUAAGAAUGAUAUGAGGAAGGGGUCAGUCUAGCUUUCUUUGCCAUGUAGAAGUUGCACACACUCACAAACGUUGCAUUGGGCUGUAAUACACACACACACAUGUUGCAUUGGGCUGUAAUACACACACACACACACACACGUUGCUUUGGGCUGUAGCACACACACACACGUUGCAUUGGGCUGUAAUACACACACACAAACACACACACACACACACGCGCGUGGCAUUGGGCUAUAACACACACACACACACACACACACACCUGUUGCAUUGGGCUGUAAUACACACACACACACACGCGCGCGCAUUGCAUUGAGCUAUAAUACACACACACACACAUGCGUUGUAUUGGGCUGUAACACACACACAGAAUCCAACAGAAAGAAAGGUUCGGGAGACGACAGAAAGAGGAAGGUGAAGAAUAAUGAGAGAGAGAGAGAGAGAGAGAGAAAGGUGAAGAGGGAAGAGAGAAAGAGAGGAAGGUGAAGAUGGAAGAGAGAGAGAGAGAGAGAAAGAGAGAGAGAGAGAAAGGUGAAGAGGGAAGAGAGAGAGGAAGGUGAAGAGGGAAGAAAGAGAGAAAGGUGAAGAGGGAAGAGAGAAAGAGAGGAAGGUGAAGAUGGAAGAGAGAGAGAGAGAGAAAGAUGAAGAUGGAAGAGAAAGAGAGGGAGAGAAAGAGAGAGAGAGGUGAAGAUGGAAGAGAAAGAGAGAGAGAGAGAAGGGUGAAGAUGGAAGAGAGAGAGAGAGAGAGGUGAAGAUGAAAGAGAAAGAGAGAGAGAGAGAGAGAGAGAGAGGUGAAGAUGGAAGAGAGAGAGAAAGAGAGAGAGAGAAGGGUGAAGAUGGAAGAGAAAGAGAGAGAGAGAGAGAGAGAGGUGAAGAUGAAAGAGAGAGAGAGAGGAAGGUGAAGAUGAAAGAGGAAGAGAGAGAGAGAGAGAGAGAGGAAGGUGAAGAUGGAAGAGGAAGAGAGAGAGAGAGAAAAGUGAAGAUGGAAGAGGAAGAGCGAGAGAGAGAGAGAAAAGUGAAGAUGGAAGAGGAAGAGAAAGAGAGAAAGAGAGAGAAAGGAAACUGAGGCCAUCUCUGU